rnacentral:rRNA from 1 species
CCUACGGGGGGCUGCAGUGAGGAAUUUUGCGCAAUGGGGGAAACCCUGACGCAGCAACGCCGCGUGAGUGAUGAAGGCUUUCGGGUCGUAAAGCUCUGUCAAGUGAGAAGAACCUGCCCUUUGCUAAUAUCAUUGGGCACUGACGGUAUCACUGAAGGAAGCACCGGCUAACUCCGUGCCAGCAGCCGCGGUAAUACGGAGGGUGCAAGCGUUAUUCGGAAUCACUGGGCGUAAAGAGCGCGUAGGCGGUUUGGAAAGUCAGGUGUGAAAGCCCGGGGCUCAACCCCGGAAGUGCAUUUGAAACUUAUGGACUAGAGUAUGGGAGAGGAAAGUGGAAUUCCUGGUGUAGCGGUGAAAUGCGUAGAUAUCAGGAGGAACACCGGUGGCGAAGGCGACUUCCUGGACCAAUACUGACGCUGAGGCGCGAAAGCGUGGGGAGCAAACAGGAUUAGAUACCCGAGUAGUCC